rnacentral:rRNA from 1 species
UACGUAGGGGCCGAGCGUUGUCCGGAGUUAUUGGGCGUAAAGCGCGCGCAGGCGGCCUCGCGCGCCGACGUGAAAGCCCCCGGGCUUAACCGGGGAGGGUCGUUGGGGACGGCGGGGCUUGAGGGCGGGAGAGGUCGGUGGAAUUCCCGGUGUAGUGGUGAAAUGCGUAGAGAUCGGGAGGAACACCUGUGGCGAAGGCGGCCGACUGGGCCGACCCUGACGCUGAGGCGGCGAAGCGUGGGGAGCGAACGGGAGUUAGAUGAUCCCUGAGUCCCGAGUACCAAGACUC